GGAACCUUUAAAUCCAGUCCCGUGAGGCUGGCAAGGGCACGGAUACGAAGAGACGGCGGGAAAAGGGCGAACCAACCCUUUUGCCUGUCAUCGGCCUGUGGCUUCUUGUCGCCUGACAAGAAGCCUUUUUUU
rfam:Bacillus sp. WF146 contig084, whole genome shotgun sequence.